rnacentral:rRNA from 1 species
UACGUAGGGGGCAAGCGUUGUCCGGAAUCAUUGGGCGUAAAGAGCGCGUAGGCGGCCCAGUAAGUCCGCUCUGAAAGUCAGGGGCUCAACCCCUGGAUGCGGGUGGAUACUGCUGGGCUAGAGUCCGGAAGAGGUGAGUGGAAUUCCUGGUGUAGCGGUGAAAUGCGUAGAUAUCAGGAGGAACACCUGCGGUGUAGACAGCAUGCUGGACCAUUUCUGACGCUGAGGCACGAAAGCGUGGGUAGCAAACAGG